GAAAUUUGGAAAUUUGGAAAUAUAGUUGGAACGUUUACCUACGUUUGCCGCUAGGGGCGCUGUUCCAACUGCAUACUACAAAUUUGAGUUA
rnacentral:pre_miRNA from 1 species